rnacentral:tRNA from 1 species
GGGGAUAGAGCUCAGUUGGUAGAGUGCUUGCCUCAAAUGCACAAGGCCCUGGGUUCAAACCCCCAGCACCACCA